rnacentral:rRNA from 1 species
AAUUGAAAUUGAUCUUUCCCGUGCAGAAGCGGGGAUUUUAACAUAAGACGAGAAGACCCUAUGGAGCUUCAGGCUCCAGAACAGACUAUGUUAAAAACCCUCCCACAAAAGACAAAACUUAUUAGACCCUGUUCCAAUGCCUUUGGUUGGGGCGACCGCGGGGAAACGAAAAACCCCCAUACGGACCGGGAGCAUCACUCCUCCCAAAACCAAGAGCAACACCUUUAAGUAACAGUACAUCUGACCAACAAAUGAUCCGGCACAGCCGAUCAACGGACCGAGUUACCCUAGGGAUAACAGCGCAAUCCCCUUCUAGAGCCCAUAUCGACAAGGGGGUUUACGACCUUUAUGUUGGAUCAGGACAUCCUAUUGGUGCAGCCGCUAUAAGGGUUCGUUUGUUCAACGAUUAAAGUCCUACGUGAUCUGAGUU